rnacentral:rRNA from 1 species
UGGGGAAUUUUGGACAAUGGGCGAAAGCCUGAUCCAGCAAUGCCGCGUGUGUGAAGAAGGCCUUCGGGUUGUAAAGCACUUUUGUCCGGAAAGAAAUCCUUGGCUCUAAUACAGUCGGGGGAUGACGGUACCGGAAGAAUAAGCACCGGCUAACUACGUGCCAGCAGCCGCGGUAAUACGUAGGGUGCAAGCGUUAAUCGGAAUUACUGGGCGUAAAGCGUGCGCAGGCGGUUUGCUAAGACCGAUGUGAAAUCCCCGGGCUCAACCUGGGAACUGCAUUGGUGACUGGCAGGCUAGAGUAUGGCAGAGGGGGGUAGAAUUCCACGUGUAGCAGUGAAAUGCGUAGAGAUGUGGAGGAAUACCGAUGGCGAAGGCAGCCCCCUGGGCCAAUACUGACGCUCAUGCACGAAAGCGUGGGGGAGCAAACAGGAUUAGAUACCCCUGGUAGUCCACGCCCUAAACGAUGUCAACUAGUUGUUGGGGAUUCAUUUCCUUAGUAACGUAGCUAACGCGUGAAGUUGACCGCCUGGGGAGUACGGUCGCAAGAUUAAAACUCAAAUAAAUUGACGGGGUCAUAGCUGUUUCCU